AGCCCGUGAGAAGGUGAGCACGAGCGAUGCCUGGUUCUUGCCAAUUUUGAGUAAUUGGACAAAGUUCUGAUCAAAAGGUCGUCACAUAGGUCCACAAAAAUACACUGUUCUAAAUUACCUUAGUCUAUUGAUUGAAAUGUAAGUGACCUAAAUGCUUCAUUUUCAGCUCCCUGUGGGAUAGUGAAUCACUGUCCACCCUUUCAUUGUUUGUGUCUGCAUAACCCUCAAUGUAUAAUUCACAUAAAUUGAUCUCAUAUGGUAAUUCUUUGCACCAAGGGUCAAAAAUGUACAACCAGUACAUCUUGGUAUUCCACCCAAUUGGGAAUACCCCAAAAGUUAUUUCUUUACCAUAGUGUAUCUCCAUUGCAUGACAGUAAGCGCCUUGAACCGACUCUAAUGGAGACAGUCAUUUUGCUCCAGUUUCAUCUAUUCCAGAUCUCCUGCAUAUGGGGCAGGGAGGGACAAGAGGCAAAGCGAAGGAGGCUGACUCGAGAUAUAGGAGGAAAAUCAGUCGUCCCCUUUAGGCAUCUGAACAAGUCUGAACUGUUCUUCUGCCGCCCCUGAUGUUGCUGCUUGUGUUGAGGCCACACCAGGCAAAGCUGUCCCAGUAACCAAAAAAAAAAAAAAAAAACCUUUGCAGUUUUGACACUCUCCUGUAGGGAUGCAGGACGCCAACUGCUGAGCUCCAAACGUGUUGUAGGAUACGGUGUGACGCACAGCAGCCCAAAGCUGUGGAGCGCUGCAGAAACUGAGUUGGGAGCGUUGGCUGGAUAUGCUACAGGUGGAGAGGCACAGAGCAGCAGGCUGUAGCUCGGUACACGGAGCAAAGAACCUCAGGUUGUAAAUAUGAGCCGCUGGAUUUUCACCGUAUCGUUGCUGCUGCUGCUGUCAUUCAUGACACACGCUGAAGCUCAGGGCAGAUGUGAUCAUGUACAAGCGGCAGACAUUGUUUUUCUGGUGGACGGAUCUUCCAGUAU